rnacentral:rRNA from 1 species
UGCGGGGAAGAAAGGCCUUUCGGGUUGUAAACCGCUUUUAGCCGGGAAGAAAAAGGCAGCUCUGAAUACGGGCUGUUGUUGACGGUACCGGCGGAAUAAGCACCGGCUAACUACGUGCCAGCAGCCGCGGUAAUACGUAGGGUGCGAGCGUUAAUCGGAAUUACUGGGCGUAAAGCGUGCGUAGGCGGUUCGUUAAGUGCGUCGUGAAAGCCCCGGGCUCAACCUGGGAAUGGCGAUGGAAACUGGCGGGCUGGAGUAUGGCAGAGGGGGGUGGAAUUCCGCGUGUAGCAGUGAAAUGCGUAGAGAUGCGGAGGAACACCGAUGGCGAAGGCAGCCCCCUGGGCCAAUACUGACGCUCAGGCACGAAAGCGUGGGGAGCAAACAGGAUUAGAUACCCUGGUAGUCCACGCCCUAAACGAUGCUCACUAGGUGUUGGGGAAGCGAUUCCUUGGUACCGUAGCUAACGCGUGAAGUGAGCCGCCUGGGGAGUACGGCCGCAAGGUUAAAACUCAAAGGAAUUGACGGGGACCCGCACAAGCGGUGGAUGAUGUGGAUUAAUUCGAUGCAACGCGAACAACCUUACCUACCCUUGACAUGUCUGGGAGCCUGCUGAAAGGUGGGUGUGCCUGAAAGGGAACCGGAACACAGGUGCUGCAUGGCUGUCGUCAGCUCGGUCGGAG